AGUUUGAUCCUGGCUCAGAACGAACGUUAGCGGCGCGCCUAACACAUGCAAGUCGCACGAGAAAGGGCUUCGGCCCCGGUAAAGUGGCGCACGGGUGAGUAACACGUGGGUAACCUGCCCUCGAGCGGGGGAUAACGGUCCGAAAGGACCGCUAAUACCGCAUAAGACCACGAGCUCGAAAGAGCAUGCGGUCAAAGCUGGCCUCUAUUCAUAAGCUAGCACUUGAGGAUGGGCCCGCGGCGCAUCAGGUAGUUGGUGAGGUAAUGGCUCACCAAGCCGAAGACGCGUAGCUGGUCUGAGAGGAUGAUCAGCCACACUGGAACUGAGACACGGUCCAGACUCCUACGGGAGGCAGCAGUGGGGAAUCUUGCGCAAUGGGCGAAAGCCUGACGCAGCGACGCCGCGUGAGUGAUGAAGGCCUUCGGGUUGUAAAGCUCUGUGGGGAGAGACGAAUAAGUGCAGCCUAAUACGUUGCAUGAUGACGGUAUCUCCUUAGCAAGCACCGGCUAACUCUGUGCCAGCAGCCGCGGUAAGACAGAGGGUGCAAACGUUGUUCGGAAUUACUGGGCGUAAAGCGAGUGUAGGCGGUCUCGUAAGUCGGGUGUGAAAGCCCCGGGCUCAACCCGGGAAGUGCACUCGAAACUGCGAGGCUAGAGUACUGGAGAGGUUGGUGGAAUUCUCGGUGUAGAGGUGAAAUUCGUAGAUAUCGAGAGGAACACCGGUGGCGAAGGCGGCCAACUGGACAGAUACU
rnacentral:rRNA from 1 species